rnacentral:rRNA from 1 species
GACGAACGCUGGCGGCGUGCUUAACACAUGCAAGUCGAACGGAAAGGCCCUGCUUUUGUGGGGUGCUCGAGUGGCGAACGGGUGAGUAACACGUGAGUAACCUGCCCUUGACUUUGGGAUAACUUCAGGAAACUGGGGCUAAUACCGGAUAGGAGCUCCUGCUGCAUGGUGGGGGUUGGAAAGUUUCGGCGGUUGGGGAUGGACUCGCGGCUUAUUAGCUUGUUGGUGGGGUAGUGGCUUACCAAGGCUUUGACGGGUAGCCGGCCUGAGAGGGUGACCGGCCACAUUGGGACUGAGAUACGGCCCAGACUCCUACGGGAGGCAGCAGUGGGGAAUAUUGCACAAUGGGCGGAAGCCUGAGGCAGCAACGCCGCGUGCGGGAUGACGGCCUUCGGGUUGUAAACCGCUUUCGCCUGUGACGAAGCGUGAGUGACGGUAAUGGGUAAAGAAGCACCGGCUAACUACGU